UAGUCGGAGGUGUGUCUCGGACGGUCGGUUCGCCGCUUGUCGGUGCUCAACUGGCCGGUCCGGACGUCCUGCCGGUGGGGCCUCGCGGCCCCGUCAUCCUUCUUUGGUCCUCUUCACCGAGUGCCUUGGUGGGCCGGCACGUUUACUUUGAACAAAUUAGAGUGCUCAAAGCAGGCCGUUGGUCGCCUGAAUACUGUGUGCAUGGAAUAAUGGAAUAGGACCUCGGUUCCAUUUUGUUGGUUUUCGGGACUCGAGGUAAUGAUUAAUAGGGACGGACGGGGGCAUUCGUAUUGCGACGUUAGAGGUGAAAUUCUUGGAUCGUCGCAAGACGAACCGAUGCGAAAGCAUUUGCCAAGAACGUUUUCGUUGAUCAAGAACGAAAGUUAGAGGUUCGAAGGCGAUCAGAUACCGCCCUAGUUCUAACCAUAAACGAUGCCAGCUAGCCAUCCGCCGAAGUUCCUUCUAUGACUCGGCGGGCAGCUUCCGGGAAACCAAAGCUCUUGGGUUCCGGGGGAAGUAU
rnacentral:rRNA from 1 species